UACAGAGGGGGCAAGCGUUUGUUCGGAAUUACUGGGCGUAAAGGGCGCGUAGGCGGCCCGCUAAGUCGAACGUGAAAUCCCCGAGCUCAACUCGGGAACUGCGUCCGAUACUGGCGGGCUUGAAUCCGGGAGAGGGAUGCGGAAUUCCAGGUGUAGCGGUGAAAUGCGUAGAUAUCUGGAGGAACACCGGUGGCGAAAGCGCGAGACUGGGCCGUAACUGACGCUGAGGAACGAAAGCCAGGGUAGCCAAAGGGG
rnacentral:rRNA from 1 species